rnacentral:rRNA from 1 species
GAUGAACGCUGGCGGCGUGCCUAGUACAUGCAAGUCGAGCGAACAGACGAGGAGCUUGCUCCUCUGACGUUAGCGGCGGACGGGUGAGUAACACGUGGAUAACCUACCUAUAAGACUGGGAUAACUUCGGGAAACCGGAGCUAAUACCGGAUACUAUAUUGAACCGCAUGGUUCAAUAGUGAAAGACGGUUUUGCUGUCACUUAUAGAUGGAUCCGCGCCGCCUUAGCUAGUUGGUAAGGUAACGGCUUACCAAGGCGACGAUGCGUAGCCGACCUGAGAGGGUGAUCGGCCACACUGGAACUGAGACACGGUCCAGACUCCUACGGGAGGCAGCAGUAGGGAAUCUUCCGCAAUGGGCGAAAGCCUGACGGAGCAACGCCGCGUGAGUGAUGAAGGUCUUCGGAUCGUAAAACUCUGUUAUUAGGGAAGAACAAAUGUGUAAGUAACUAUGCACGUCUUGACGGUACCUAAUCAGAAAGCCACGGCUAACUACGUG